rnacentral:rRNA from 1 species
CUACGGGACGCUGCAGUGGGGAAUAUUGCACAAUGGUCGCAAGCCUGAUGCAGCCAUGCCGCGUGUAUGAAGAAGGCCUUCGGGUUGUAAAGUACUUUCAGCGGGGAGGAAGGGAGUAAAGUUAAUACCUUUGCUCAUUGACGUUACCCGCAGAAGAAGCACCGGCUAACUCCGUGCCAGCAGCCGCGGUAAUACGGAGGGUGCAAGCGUUAAUCGGAAUUACUGGGCGUAAAGCGCACGCAGGCGGUUUGUUAAGUCAGAUGUGAAAUCCCCGGGCUCAACCCGGGAACUGCAUCUGAUACUGGCAAGCUUGAGUCUCGUAGAGGGGGGUAGAAUUCCAGGUGUAGCGGUGAAAUGCGUAGAGAUCUGGAGGAAUACCGGUGGCGAAGGCGGCCCCCUGGUCGAAGACUGACGCUCAGGUGCGAAAGCGUGGGGAGCAAACAGGAUUAGAUACCCGCGUAGUC